rnacentral:rRNA from 1 species
UAAGCGACUAAGCGUACACGGUGGAUGCCCUGGCAGUCAGAGGCGAUGAAGGACGUGCUAAUCUGCGAUAAGCGUCGGUAAGGUGAUAUGAACCGUUAUAACCGGCGAUUUCCGAAUGGGGAAACCCAGUGUGUUUCGACACACUAUCAUUAACUGAAUCCAUAGGUUAAUGAGGCGAACCGGGGGAACUGAAACAUCUAAGUACCCCGAGGAAAAGAAAUCAACCGAGAUUCCCUCAGUAGCGGCGAGCGAACGGGGAGCAGCCCAGAGCCUGAAUCAGUAUGUGUGUUAGUGGAAGCGUCUGGAAAGGCGCGCGAUACAGGGUGACAGCCCCGUACACAAAAAUGCACAUAUUGUGAGCUCGAUGAGUAGGGCGGGACACGUGGUAUCCUGUCUGAAUAUGGGGGGACCAUCCUCCAAGGCUAAAUACUCCUGACUGACCGAUAGUGAACCAGUACCGUGAGGGAAAGGCGAAAAGAACCCCGGCGAGGGGAGUGAAAAAGAACCUGAAACCGUGUACGUACAAGCAGUGGGAGCACGCUUCGGCGUGUGACUGCGUACCUUUUGUAUAAUGGGUCAGCGACUUAUAUUCUGUAGCAAGGUUAACCGAAUAGGGGAGCCGAAGGGAAACCGAGUCUUAACUGGGCGUUAAGUUGCAGGGUAUAGACCCGAAACCCGGUGAUCUAGCCAUGGGCAGGUUGAAGGUUGGGUAACACUAACUGGAGGACCGAACCGACUAAUGUUGAAAAAUUAGCGGAUGACUUGUGGCUGGGGGUGAAAGGCCAAUCAAACCGGGAGAUAGCUGGUUCUCCCCGAAAGCUAUUUAGGUAGCGCCUCGUGAAUUCAUCUCCGGGGGUAGAGCACUGUUUCGGCAAGGGGGUCAUCCCGACUUACCAACCCGAUGCAAACUGCGAAUACCGGAGAAUGUUAUCACGGGAGACACACGGCGGGUGCUAACGUCCGUCGUGAAGAGGGAAACAACCCAGACCGCCAGCUAAGGUCCCAAAGUCAUGGUUAAGUGGGAAACGAUGUGGGAAGGCCCAGACAGCCAGGAUGUUGGCUUAGAAGCAGCCAUCAUUUAAAGAAAGCGUAAUAGCUCACUGGUCGAGUCGGCCUGCGCGGAAGAUGUAACGGGGCUAAACCAUGCACCGAAGCUGCGGCAGCGACACUAUGUGUUGUUGGGUAGGGGAGCGUUCUGUAAGCCUGUGAAGGUGUGCUGUGAGGCAUGCUGGAGGUAUCAGAAGUGCGAAUGCUGACAUAAGUAACGAUAAAGCGGGUGAAAAGCCCGCUCGCCGGAAGACCAAGGGUUCCUGUCCAACGUUAAUCGGGGCAGGGUGAGUCGACCCCUAAGGCGAGGCCGAAAGGCGUAGUCGAUGGGAAACAGGUUAAUAUUCCUGUACUUGGUGUUACUGCGAAGGGGGGACGGAGAAGGCUAUGUUGGCCGGGCGACGGUUGUCCCGGUUUAAGCGUGUAGGCUGGUUUUCCAGGCAAAUCCGGAAAAUCAAGGCUGAGGCGUGAUGACGAGGCACUACGGUGCUGAAGCAACAAAUGCCCUGCUUCCAGGAAAAGCCUCUAAGCAUCAGGUAACAUCAAAUCGUACCCCAAACCGACACAGGUGGUCAGGUAGAGAAUACCAAGGCGCUUGAGAGAACUCGGGUGAAGGAACUAGGCAAAAUGGUGCCGUAACUUCGGGAGAAGGCACGCUGAUAUGUAGGUGAGGUCCCUCGCGGAUGGAGCUGAAAUCAGUCGAAGAUACCAGCUGGCUGCAACUGUUUAUUAAAAACACAGCACUGUGCAAACACGAAAGUGGACGUAUACGGUGUGACGCCUGCCCGGUGCCGGAAGGUUAAUUGAUGGGGUCAGCGCAAGCGAAGCUCUUGAUCGAAGCCCCGGUAAACGGCGGCCGUAACUAUAACGGUCCUAAGGUAGCGAAAUUCCUUGUCGGGUAAGUUCCGACCUGCACGAAUGGCGUAAUGAUGGCCAGGCUGUCUCCACCCGAGACUCAGUGAAAUUGAACUCGCUGUGAAGAUGCAGUGUACCCGCGGCAAGACGGAAAGACCCCGUGAACCUUUACUAUAGCUUGACACUGAACAUUGAGCCUUGAUGUGUAGGAUAGGUGGGAGGCUUUGAAGUGUGGACGCCAGUCUGCAUGGAGCCGACCUUGAAAUACCACCCUUUAAUGUUUGAUGUUCUAACGUUGACCCGUAAUCCGGGUUGCGGACAGUGUCUGGUGGGUAGUUUGACUGGGGCGGUCUCCUCCUAAAGAGUAACGGAGGAGCACGAAGGUUGGCUAAUCCUGGUCGGACAUCAGGAGGUUAGUGCAAUGGCAUAAGCCAGCUUGACUGCGAGCGUGACGGCGCGAGCAGGUGCGAAAGCAGGUCAUAGUGAUCCGGUGGUUCUGAAUGGAAGGGCCAUCGCUCAACGGAUAAAAGGUACUCCGGGGAUAACAGGCUGAUACCGCCCAAGAGUUCAUAUCGACGGCGGUGUUUGGCACCUCGAUGUCGGCUCAUCACAUCCUGGGGCUGAAGUAGGUCCCAAGGGUAUGGCUGUUCGCCAUUUAAAGUGGUACGCGAGCUGGGUUUAGAACGUCGUGAGACAGUUCGGUCCCUAUCUGCCGUGGGCGCUGGAGAACUGAGGGGGGCUGCUCCUAGUACGAGAGGACCGGAGUGGACGCAUCACUGGUGUUCGGGUUGUCAUGCCAAUGGCACUGCCCGGUAGCUAAAUGCGGAAGAGAUAAGUGCUGAAAGCAUCUAAGCACGAAACUUGCCCCGAGAUGAGUUCUCCCUGACCCUUUAAGGGUCCUGAAGGAACGUUGAAGACGACGACGUUGAUAGGCCGGGUGUGUAAGCGCAGCGAUGCGUUGAGCUAACCGGUACUAAUGAACCGUGAGGCUUAACCU